AUACAUUAGAUCGGAACAAGAAAGUAAAAGAGAAACAUAAAAUAUUGCUAAAAGACUAAUUUUUUCUGAUGAUAUUAAUACUCGUGAAUAUAUUCAAUAUGAACAAGAAAGAAUUGUACAAAAAAAACAUCAAAAACAACAACAACAACCAUCUUCAGUUACACAAAAAAAAGGGACAAUAUUUGAAAAUUUUGAAAGUUCCGGAUCAAACUUACAUGACUAUUAGUAGUGUUGUAAUAUUUAAAUUUGUGUAAUAGUUAUGUCUUCAUGUAAUUUUAAAAAAUCUUUUUGUUAAGUUUUUUCUUGUAUAUUAUUGUUGUCUAAAUCUAGCUUAAAACAUUUUAAAUCUUAUUUUAAAUUUUUAUUUAACUUUAUGUGUAAAAUUUAAAAACUGUAAACAAAAUUUAAAAUAUUUAUGAGAUAUAAUUUAAAACAAUAAACAAGAAAAUAUUUAUGAAUCAUAAAGAGGUAAUGUGUGAUAUAUUAAAAACAAACUAAAUCGCAAAUACUAAAAAUUCCAGGGUCAAAUAUCUGUUCCGCUCCUUUUUAUAUCUAUAAUUAAAUAGAGAGUUGUAAAUGUAUAAUUUUAUAUAAUUAUUACUUUUGAACAUAUAAUUUUAAAUAUUUUAAUUAUUGAAUUACUUACAAAUUAUUAAAUUAAUAAAAUAUAAAAUCUUUAUUAAAACUAAAAUUUUAUGUUUUAUGAAAUAAUAAUUAAUUUUUAAAAUUUAUAGAACAUAUAGUUUCACUAUUAUUUUCUUUUUUUCUUAUGAUAUGUAAACGGUAUUUUUAUGAAAGCAAACUUGUAUAGGUUUUUUUUAUAGAUUUAUUUGUAUUAAAUAAUAUGGACGAAAUAUUUGUAAAUAUCUAUAAUUUUUUGCAUAUUUGUAUUUUUCGAAACAAAGCAAAUAAAAAAACAAAUAUCUGUAAACUAUAAAAUAAAUCAUAAAUACUAAAAAUUAUGGUAUUAUCCGGAGCUCCGUGCCCACCCCUAGUCCAGCCAACUGUACAGUAUUCUGCCAGCUAAUAUAUAUAAUACCCUAAAUAGCAAAUACUAACAAAAGAAACUUUGACUGUCAUGCAAAAACAACAUAUUUAGUCAACUCCAUAAAUGUGAAUAUAUAUACAUACAAUAUAUUUUAAUACUUCUCUUACCCAAUAUAAAAAUAUUUUACCAAAUAUGGAAGAUUUUAUUACUGUAAAUUAAGUGCAGGGUUGAAAAUUGAGACUUUCCUUGCGAAAAGAGUUCUAUAAAAAAAGAACAAUUCUUCACGGUUGACCAGAAACAAUAGAACAGAACAAAUUUUAUUCGUAGUACAAUACUCUAAAACUACACAUAAUGGGUAUCACUAGAAUCUCUCUAACUCUGUCUCUGCUAAUAGUAUUAGCAAUUUCAAUGUCUUACAACAACGUUUCGGCCGUGUCAGUGAUCGAACCAGCCAAAUUACCUACCCGUUGUUUUCACCAAUGUGGUGGAAUCUAUGAUGAUCAUGCAUGCUUCACUGACUGCAUACCCAAAGGGUACGAUCAUGGAAUGUGUAGGAAUGGUCGUUGCUGUUGCUUCAAUGAUAAUUGAUCAUACUCUCGAUAUUUGGCGAGUUGGAUUUAAGAUUUUAAAAUAUUUACUAUUU